rnacentral:lncRNA from 1 species
UGGUUUUGGAGAAUGUGCUGAUUGCAAGGAGAAUAACAUUAACACUAUUCAUGCUCUAUCAGGUUCUUUCUUAUUAAUUCAUUUGAAUGCAUGUCAUGUUAACUGUCUUACAAUUAUAAUGGUUAUAUGAUGGAGUUGAGUUACUACUACACAUGGUAUCCGAGUCAGGCUUAUCCCUAUUAUUGUGUUUUCCAAUGUUGGAUCACACAUUUUCUUGUUCAUGCUCCAGAUGUCUCGUCUUGACUCUUGAGCAUGCAAGAUUAUAAAAGGUUAUCGUCUUUUAUGUGGUUUUGAAAGAUUUAUCACUUGUUGAGCUAGCUUUUGAAUUAAAGUUAGCUAGCUAGGUUCAAGGUUCAUUUUCUGAUAGUAGAUUUCCAUAACAAUGUUAUAUUAUUGGUUUCAGGACUUCAUGUAAGCAUUGACUGCAAGCUUGAAAAUGGAGAAAUCAAAACAAGGGGUGAAGGAGAGCUUGACCAAGAUGGCAAGUUUGAAGUGUCACUUCCUAAGGAGAUGAUGAAAGAUGGCAAGCUGAAAGAGGAAUGCUAUGCACAGUUACACAGUGCAUCAGCUGCACCAUGUCCAGCACACAAUGGCAUUGAAUCAUCCAAGAUUGUUACUAUCAAAACUGAUGGAAAACAUACAUUGAAACCAGCUGGAAAUCUCAAGUUCUCAACACCCUUGUGCACUUCUGCUUUCUUGUGGCCAUACUUUAAGUACCCACCAUUGCCACAGUUGCCACCUUUCCCAAAAGAUCAUCCUUGGAUGAAGAAGUUCCCUAAGUUGCCACCAUUCCCACCAAUGCCACCAUUGAAUCACUGGGGCCACCCUUUCCCUCUUCCACCUAUUCCUCCCCUUUUUAAAAAGCCAUGUCCCCCACCACUAGUAAAGCCUCCAGUUCCCGUUUACAACCCAACACCAAAGCCCACACCAGAGCCACCAGUAGUAAAGCCACUUCCUCCUCCAGUUCCCGUUUACAACCCAACACCAAAGCCCACACCAGAGCCACCAGUAGUAAAGCCACUUCCUCCUCCAGUUCCCGUUUACAACCCAACACCAAAGCCCACACCAGAGCCACCAGUAGUAAAGCCACUUCCUCCUCCAGUUCCCGUUUACAACCCAACACCAAAGCCCACACCAGAGCCACCAGUAGUAAAGCCACUUCCUCCUCCCGUUCCUGUUUACAAACCAAAACCAAAGCCUCCUCCAGUUCCCGUCUACAAGCCCAAGCCUAAGCCACCUCCAGUUCCUACUUACAAGCCCAAACCAGAGCCUCCAGUUAAAAAACCAUGUCCCCCUUCAGUUCCAAAACCAAAGCCUCCUCCAGUUAAAAAACCAUGCCCCCCUAAAGUUCCAACUUACAAACCCAAGCCUAAACCAGAGCCACCAGUAGUAAAGCCACUUCCUCCACCAGUUCCAGUUUACAAGCCACCAGUAGUAAAACCCCUUCCACCACCUGUUCCAAUUUACAAAAAGCCAUGCCCACCAUUUCCACACCUUCCACCACUGCCACCAAUAGUGAAGCCACUUCCUCCUCCAGUUCCAGUUUACAAGCCACCAGUAGUAAAACCCCUUCCACCACCUGUUCCAAUUUACAAAAAGCCAUGCCCACCAUUUCCACACCUUCCACCACUGCCACCAAUAGUGAAGCCACUUCCUCCACCAGUUCCAGUUUACAAGCCACCAGUAGUAAAACCCCUUCCACCACCUGUUCCAAUUUACAAAAAGCCAUGCCCACCAUUUCCACACCUUCCACCACUGCCACCAAUAGUGAAGCCACUUCCUCCUCCAGUUCCAAUUUACGUGCCACCAGUAGUAAAACCCCUGCCACCACCCGUUCCAAUUUAUGAGCCACCAGUAGUAAAACCCCUGCCACCACCUGUUCCAAUUUACAAGCCACCAUUUUACAAAAAGCCAUGCCCACCACUUCCACCAUUCCCUAAAAUUCCUCCCUUCCACCAUCCUCUCUUCCCACCACUUCCACCUAAAUUUCCUCACCCAUAGACCAAACAUUAAAUUCAAGAGUUCCUUUGGGUGUAUGUAGGGCUGAAUCUUUUUCUGUUUUAAAACCAUGAAAAUUAUUUGCAAUUCAAUGAAUAAAAUCGACCGCCAAGAGAUAUGAUGCUUGAGAAU